rnacentral:rRNA from 1 species
GGGUCGCGUCCUAUCAGGUAGUCGGCGGGUUAACGGCCCACCGAGCCUACAACGGGUAGCCGGCCUGAGAGGGCGACCGGCCACAUUGGGACUGAGAUACGGCCCAAACUCCUACGGGAGGCAGCAGUGGGGAAUAUUGCACAAUGGGCGCAAGCCUGAUGCAGCGACCCCGCGUGCGGGAUGACGGCCUUCGGGUUGUAAACCGCUUUUGUUGGGGAGCAAGCCUUCGGGUGAGAGUACCCUUCCAAUAAACACCGGCUAACUACGUGCCAGCACCCGCGGUAAUACGUAGGGUGCAAGCGUUAUCCGGAAUUAUUGGGCGUAAAGAGCUCGUAGGCGGUUCGUCCCGUCCGGUGUGAAAGUCCAUCGCUUAACGGUGGAUCUGCGCCGGGUACGGGCGGGCUGGAGUGCGGUAGGGAGACUGGAAUUCCCGGUGUAACGGUGG